AGAGUUUGAUCUUGGCUCAGGACGAACGCUGGCGGCGUGCCUAAUACAUGCAAGUAGAACGCUGACUACUUUAGCUUGCUAGAGUAGAAGGAGUUGCGAACGGGUGAGUAACGCGUAGGUAACCUGCCUACUAGCGGGGGAUAACUAUUGGAAACAAUAGCUAAUACCGCAUAACAGUGUUUAACACAUGUUAGAUGCUUGAAAGAUGCAAAUGCAUCACUAGUAGAUGGACCUGCGUUGUAUUAGCUAGUUGGUGGGGUAACGGCCUACCAAGGCGACGAUACAUAGCCGACCUGAGAGGGUGAUCGGCCACACUGGGACUGAGACACGGCCCAGACUCCUACGGGAGGCAGCAGUAGGGAAUCUUCGGCAAUGGGGGCAACCCUGACCGAGCAACGCCGCGUGAGUGAAGAAGGUUUUCGGAUCGUAAAGCUCUGUUGUAAGAGAAGAACGUGUGUGAGAGUGGAAAGUUCACACAGUGACGGUAACUUACCAGAAAGGGACGGCUAACUACGUGCCAGCAGCCGCGGUAAUACGUAGGUCCCGAGCGUUGUCCGGAUUUAUUGGGCGUAAAGCGAGCGCAGGCGGUUUAAUAAGUCUGAAGUUAAAGGCAGUGGCUUAACCAUUGUUCGCUUUGGAAACUGUUAAACUUGAGUGCAGAAGGGGAGAGUGGAAUUCCAUGUGUAGCGGUGAAAUGCGUAGAUAUAUGGAGGAACACCGGUGGCGAAAGCGGCUCUCUGGUCUGUAACUGACGCUGAGGCUCGAAAGCGUGGGGAGCAAACAGGAUUAGAUACCCUGGUAGUCCACGCCGUAAACGAUGAGUGCUAGGUGUUAGGCCCUUUCCGGGGCUUAGUGCCGCAGCU
rnacentral:rRNA from 1 species